AAUCAUCGCUGCAAACACCAGCGCCGCGAGGCGCGAAGCAAAGGUCAUGAAAGAACCCCUUGGACCACCAGAUGGCCGGAUUUCAUGUCCAUCGCUUAACGCCUUGCUGANUAGGCAUAAGCUGCGGUCCCACGUCCCCGACUCGAUUGUUUAUCGGCAUCAACUAUGACGGCACGGCGGCAAGAAAAUAAAGGGCAACGCCUUGGAAUCGCCUGUCUUGCGGUCCUUGCCGGGCUGGCCGGGCCGUAUACCAGCGCGUCCGCGGUCACCGAACGGGUGGUGGUGAACCGCCAUAGCGGCCUUGCCAUCGAUGGCUUCGACCCUGUGGCCUAUUUCACCGACGCCGAGGCGGCCAGGGGGCAGCCCGACAUCGAGGCGUCCAAGGAUGGCGCCGUCUGGCGUUUCCGGAACGAAGCCAACCGCGCCGUUUUCCUCAGCCAUCCGGAUAUCUACGG
rnacentral:misc_RNA from 1 species